ACCAGCACGUUAUGGUGGGCACUCUAAGGAGACUGCCGGUGACAACCGGAGGAAGGUGGGGAUGACGUCAAGUCCAUCAUGGCCCUUACGGCCUGGGCUACACACGUGCUACAAUGGUCGGUACAAAGGGUUGCCAAGCCGCGAGGUGGAGCUAAUCCCAUAAAACCGAUCGUAGUCCGGAUCGCAGUCUGCAACUCGACUGCGUGAAGUCGGAAUCGCUAGUAAUCGUGAAUCAGAAUGUCACGGUGAAUACGUUCCCGGGCCUU
rnacentral:rRNA from 1 species